rnacentral:rRNA from 1 species
AGUGAACGCUGGCGGUAGGCCUAACACAUGCAAGUCGAACGGCAGCACAGUAAGAGCUUGCUCUUACGGGUGGCGAGUGGCGGACGGGUGAGGAAUACAUCGGAAUCUACUUUUUCGUGGGGGAUAACGUAGGGAAACUUACGCUAAUACCGCAUACGACCUACGGGUGAAAGCAGGGGAUCUUCGGACCUUGCGCGAUUGAAUGAGCCGAUGUCGGAUUAGCUAGUUGGCGGGGUAAAGGCCCACCAAGGCGACGAUCCGUAGCUGGUCUGAGAGGAUGAGCAGACACACUGGAACUGAGACACGGUCCAGACUCCUACGGGAGGCAGCAGUGGGGAAUAUGGGACAAUGGGCGAAAGCCUGAUCCAGCAAUGCCGCGUGAGUGAAGAAGGCCUGCGGAUUGUAAAGCCCUUUUAGGGGAAAAGAAAAGCAGGAGGUGAAUACCUGGAUGUUUUGACGGUACCAAAAAAAAAAGCACCGGCUAACUUCGUG